AUUCGACUGGCCGGACUAGUUAAUAAAUUAUCGUUCAGCGUCCGCGGCCAUCUUUGUCUCGCUGGUUCGCGAGGAAUGCGGAAUGUUUUGCCAGUGCUACAAAAGAUUCAUUCAUCCCCAUCCCACCAGAUAUCCCACCUUUGGACCUCGCGAGAGGGUUAUGCGGGGCACCAGGUUUGACUCCUUGGCGCUGCCCCACCAGAAGACCAAGGAAGAUGCUUCUCGUUCUCCUCGCGUGCUUUAAUAUGUAGAUACAUGUAUUAUCGUCACGCAUACAUCUCGGAGUAACCUGAGUGGAAACGGUGCUGCUCUCCUGGGCAGUGGUUAAGUGUGGUUAGUGGGUGCACACACCAGGUUCUCGUGUGCUCGCACGCCUCGCACGUUCCCCAGACUCAUGAGGUUCUUUCUCUGUUACCCGCAUAGUCUUCGUAACGCGUUACUGGAAUAAGGAGAGGCUUGACUUUCCCAUGGGUGCAACCGUGGACGCCGCACGUGGUUUUUACACAGAAGAAACAUUUGCUUGGUGCAGAUCCCAGAAGACAAUUUUUCGAAUAAACCGCAAUUGACCAUCCUCCCGCAGAUAUACUGGUGUCCUGAGUCACAAGACAAGAGACUUGGUGUAUUCAAUAUUUCAAAAUCUGAAAAUCCACCUGCAAAUAAAACAGUGAAUUCAAUUAGACACUUUCAGUGUAAAUUUUCGGUGCCAAGUGUUUUUUUUUAAAUAAAAACAAUGAUAAUAAUAACAGAAAUUUCCAGUGACCUUUCUUCGUGGAGAUUAGCGGAUAAAAAUAAGAAGAGAAUCGACAAUGGCAGUACAAUGAUAAGGGGUAAUUAACGUGCAUAAUAAAUGUAUUAUACAAUGAUGUGAGAAUUGGAUCAAAGGAUGUAUAAUAAUUGUAAGGCACAUACGACUGGACGGAGUCUACAGAUUGUGUACUUCAAAUCAUCCAUUGAAUCCAUUGGCUACUUUUCAAAAUAUUAUGGCCGCGUAUACAGGAGGACAGAGAAUAUGAAUAAGAAGUAGAGAAAGAAAUAUAAAAAAAAAGAGAGAGAAAGAGAGGCGAAUAUAUGCUACCAUCAGUGAGACUUCAAUACAUAGAGAUCACAACGGUGGAGACUUCGAUAAGCGCACAAGCAAGUUCUACCAGUUACGUAGGAGGUUUUCAGUAGUGAGGAGUAAACAAGUCAGAUACAUCCAUUGGAAUAUGUGUAUGUCGAAAAGAGGAUAUAUUUAAAAGAAAAAAAAUUGGAAUAUCAAACGGUCCCUCUUGUGCAAUUCCCUUUGUUCGUUUUAUACACACGUCUCUCUCUUAAUUAUUUA